rnacentral:rRNA from 1 species
UGCUUUUUAAGCUUAGUGGCGAACGGGUGAGUAACGCGUGAGUAACCUGCCCUAGAGUGGGGGACAACAGUUGGAAACGACUGCUAAUACCGCAUAAGCCCACGGUACCGCAUGGUACUGAGGGAAAAGGAUUUAUUCGCUUUAGGAUGGACUCGCGUCCAAUUAGCUAGUUGGUGAGGUAACGGCCCACCAAGGCGACGAUUGGUAGCCGGACUGAGAGGUUGAACGGCCACAUUGGGACUGAGACACGGCCCAGACUCCUACGGGAGGCAGCAGUGGGGGAUAUUGCACAAUGGGGGAAACCCUGAUGCAGCGACGCCGCGUGGAGGAAGAAGGUUUUCGGAUUGUAAACUCCUGUCGUUAGGGACGAUAAUGACGGUACCUAACAAGAAAGCACCGGCUAACUACGUGCCAGCAGCCGCGGUAAAACGUAGGGUGCAAGCGUUGUCCGGAAUUACUGGGUGUAAAGGGAGCGCAGGCGGGAAGACAAGUUGGAAGUGAAAACCAUGGGCUCAACCCAUGAAUUGCUUUCAAAACUGUUUUUCUUGAGUAGUGCAGAGGUAGAUGGAAUUCCCGGUGUAGCGGUGGAAUGCGUAGAUAUCGGGAGGAAC